GCUGCAAAUUUGAUUGGGAUUUCAUUGAUUUUGAUCUGUAUGCUCCGCUAGAAGGCACAUUCAAGUCAAAUGUGUUCAUGUGGUAUAAGCAUGUAAACUACAACAACUAUCCUGACACAGAGGAGGUGUCAUUUCGCUUCCGCUGUGGCUUUGCAGGCAAUGUGAGAAGUUGUGGUGUCCGCUUACUAUAUCUCCAAGAUGCAGAGGACGUACUUGGUUUCACUGGAACUGGCUGCUAACUUUUAUCAAAUCACUUUGAUUUAUGGUACACAAGUUGCAAUUUUUUCGGUGUGUUCUUCACAAGCCUAAUAAAAAUGGGGAGGCUUGGUGGAGAUCAAGAGUGGUUUCGAUGCUGAAUUACACCAGU